UGCCCAUAUCGCAUUGAAACACUGAUUCUUGUACAAUCACCAAAAUUAAGCAACAUUGAGCAUGGUUAGUACCUAAAUGGGUGACUGCUUGGGAAUACCAGGUGUUGUAAG